CAGUAGCCGCGGGAAUACGGAGGGGGCUAGCGUUGUUCGGAAUCACUGGGCGUAAAGGGAGCGUAGGCGGCGUGGUAAGUCAGAUGUGAAAUCCCGGGGCUCAACCCCGGAACUGCAUCCGAUACUGCCAUGCUAGAGGAUUGGAGAGGUAGCUGGAAUUCUUGGUGUAGCAGUGAAAUGCGUGGAGAUCAAGAGGAACACUCGCGGCGAAAGCGAGCUACUGGACAAUAACUGACGCUGAGGCUCGAAGGCCAGGGUAGCGAAAGGGAUUAGAGACCCCCGUAGUCCCUGUCUCUUAUAA
rnacentral:rRNA from 1 species